UCUGUAAUGAGAUCUGUUGCCCUU
rnacentral:piRNA from 1 species